rnacentral:piRNA from 1 species
UGGUACUGGAGAAGGACUGCGCU